UCCCGUUUCCCCGCUUCGCCUCGCCCCAAGCCUAAGAACUUGCCCUCCCACUGUCUCUCUCCCUCCUCCCUUUCUUCUGUCCAGAAGAUCUCUAAGUCUGCAAGAAUUUCCAAGUCUACAAGAAUCCCCAAGUCUGCACCUGGGUUUGACAGAAACGAUUCAAAUGAAUCUGAAAAGUCCAAGUCUGCAAGACUUGAUUUGCAAGUUAAACGGUUCUGGGUUGGGCACUCUACGUUUUGUCUCGAAGGAUUACAACUACAGAGGAUUUCAAAGUAUUUGAUGGAAGGUCGAGAAGGAAUUUGUUGUUGUUAUUGAAGAGCUAUUCGGCUACAAAUCUUCAAGUAACUACUUGAGCAGAAAAUAAAUAGAGGACUUAUGAAGGAGAUGAACUCUCGUAUAUUAGGAAAAUGAUUAUGUGAAUUGGGUUGGAUUUGUGAGUUGUCUGUGAAAUACCAAAUUGAAGGAUUUGAUUUUUCUGGG
rnacentral:sRNA from 1 species